GGAAACCGAGUCUUAAUUGGGCGUUAAGUUGCAGGGUAUAGACCCGAAACCCGGUGAUCUAGCCAUGGGCAGGUUGAAGGUUGGGUAACACUAACUGGAGGACCGAACCGACUAAUGUUGAAAAAUUAGCGGAUGACCUGUGGCUGGGGGUGAAAGGCCAAUCAAACCGGGAGAUAGCUGGUUCUCCCCGAAAGCUAUUUAGGUAGCGCCUCGUGAAUUCAUCUCCGGGGGUAGAGCACUGUUUCGGCUAGGGGGCCAUCCCGGCUUACCAACCCGAUGCAAACUGCGAAUACCGGAGAAUGUUAUCACGGGAGACACACGGCGGGUGCUAACGUCCGUCGUGAAGAGGGAAACAACCCAGACCGCCAGCUAAGGUCCCAAAGUCAUGGUUAAGUGGGAAACGAUGUGGGAAGGCCCAGACAGCCAGGAUGUUGGCUUAGAAGCAGCCAUCAUUUAAAGAAAGCGUAAUAGCUCACUGGUCGAGUCGGCCUGCGCGGAAGAUGUAACGGGGCUAAACCAUGCACCGAAGCUGCGGCAGCGAACGUAUCACCCAAGACAACUUUACGGAGUUGACGAUUGACGGAGCGAAGCGACGUCAAAGCGUUCAUUAAAGUCGAGUUGGCUUAGGGAUACGUUCGUUGGGUAGGGGAGCGUUCUGUAAGCCUGUGAAGGUGUGUCGUGAGGCAUGCUGGAGGUAUCAGAAGUGCGAAUGCUGACAUAAGUAACGAUAAAGCGGGUGAAAAGCCCGCUCGCCGGAAGACCAAGGGUUCCUGUCCAACGUUAAUCGGGGCAGGGUGAGUCGACCCCUAAGGCGAGGCCGAAAGGCGUAGUCGAUGGGAAACGGGUUAAUAUUCCCGUACUUGGUGUUACUGCGAAGGGGGGACGGAGAAGGCUAUGUUGGCCGGGCGACGGUUGUCCCGGUUUAAGCGUGUAGGUGUGUGUUCCAGGUAAAUCCGGUUCACUUUAACACUGAGGCGUGACGACGAGGCACUACGGUGCUGAAGCAACAAAUGCCCUGCUUCCAGGAAAAGCCUCUAAGCAUCAGGUAACACGAAAUCGUACCCCAAACCGACACAGGUGGUCAGGUAGAGAAUACCAAGGCGCUUGAGAGAACUCGGGUGAAGGAACUAGGCAAAAUGGUGCCGUAACUUCGGGAGAAGGCACGCUGACAC
rnacentral:rRNA from 1 species